rnacentral:tRNA from 1 species
AGUAGUGUGGUUUAAUGGUUAGAACGUGGGCCUAGCAGUCAGAAAUUAUGACCUGGGUUCUAAUCCCAGUUCUGCCA